rnacentral:rRNA from 1 species
AGCGACUGUGCAGGUUACCGCGGCUGCUGGCACGGAGUUAGCCGGUGCUUCUUCUGUGAGUGAUGUCCUUCCUGCCGGUUAUUGACCCGCAGGCCUUCUUCCUCACUGAAAGUGCUUUACAACCCGGAAGGCCUUCUUCACACACGCGGCAUGGCUGGAUCAGGGUUGCCCCCGAUUGUCCAAUAUUCCCCACUGCUGCCUCCCGUAGGAGUCUGGGCCGUGUCUCAGUCCCAGUGUGGCUGAUCAUCCUCUCAGACCAGCUACGGAUCGUCGCCUUGGUGAGCCGUUACCUCACCAACCAGCUAAUCCGACAUAGGCUCAUCC